GGCUGGAGGUCAAAGGUCACCCCUUGCUGACCAAGCUGUCCCAAUAGACAGGCUGCUGCACUCUGUGGGAGAGGUAAAAGAGGAAAAAGAAUGUCCAAAUCUAAAUGGCAUGGUAUAGAGGAAAGGAUUACUGACCAACAGCGAUCAGGUCUGUUUGUUUCCCUCAGAUCCCCAUUCAUUCUUUCGGUUCACAGUUAUUUAUUGAGCACCUACUAAAUGCCAGGUGCGAUCUAGGUGAUGGCAAUAGAAAGAGCGGAGCCUGACCUAUGCAACAAGUAAGUCAAGAGAACCUCCCUUCUCCACUCUGGUUACCUGGGGGAGUGUGGACAGGGAGCUGUGGAACUGUCAAGCCACAUCAGGGCAUCAGAAGACUGGGCUUAGUGUAAAAAACAAGAAAACCCUGAAGAUCUGAGGAAAGAGGACAAAAACCAGAGCAAACACGUCUAAUUUUAAGCAUUCUUCACACCAAAAAUGCAUUAGAACUGCUUUCAUUCACGCUUCAAGGACAAUAAUUUUAGGUGUCAAUCCUUCUAUUCUCUGAUCAGCUGCUCCCUAGAUGAUGUUUCUCAAAGUGUUUUUUAUAGACCGUGAGUAUAAGAAUUCCUAGGGGUCAGGUGCAAUGGCUCAUGCCUGUAAUCCCAACAGGGGAUUGGGAGGCUGAGGCAGGUGGAUCACUUGAGCUCAGAAGUUUGAGACCAACCUGGGCAACAUGGCAAAACCCUGUCUCUACUAAAAAUCCAAAAAAAAUAGCCAGGUCUGGUGGUGUGCACCCAUAGUCUCAGCUACUCAAGAGGCCGAGAUGGGAGGAUUGCUUGAGCCCGGAGGGUGGAGGUUGCAGUGAGUCAAGAUCAUGCCACUGCACUCUAGCCGGGGUGACAGAGAGACC
rnacentral:lncRNA from 1 species